AAUUACUAAAAUUGUUUAGUAUUAAAAUACACGAAUUAGGUUGAGCUAAUUGAAUAUAUAUAUUAGCAUAUAUGUUGGCUGUAUCACUAUUCAACAACUAUAAUCAAUUAGGGGCGAUAUACCUUACAAAUACUAGGAUAUCUUGAAGUAUAAUAAAUAUAAUAGUAUAAAGGCAACUAUAAAGUGGUUAGGCUUUAUAGAGGCAUAAUUUAUAAUAACAAUAUAAUAAAUUAUAUAACUAUAAUUAUUUGAUUUAACUUAUUAUAUAGUAUAUUCAUAAUAUGUAUUUUAUUAUAUAAUACUAGGCCAUUAGAAUUAGCAUAUAUAAUGUAAUUAUUAGUAGAGAAUUAAAUUUUAUAAAGGAAUUCGGCAAAUAAUUUUUCAACUGUUUACCAAAAACAUUGCCUUAUGAUUUAAUAUAAGGUUAGCCCUGCUCAAUGGAGAACUAAAUAGCCGCAGUACUUUGACUGUGCAAAGGUAGCAUAAUAAAUUGGCUUAUAAUUGAAGUCUAGUAUGAAUGGGUGUAUGGGGAAAUGCUGUCUUUAGAGAAGUAAGUGAAAUUAAUUAGAAAGUGAAAAUGCUUUCAGCUUAAAUAUUAGACGAGAAGACCCUAGAAAUUUUGUAGAAAAUUAUAGCUUAGCUAUUUUGUUGGGGCGACAGGGUAGCAAUAAACCUAUCCAACAAUAUCAGAAAUUUGUACGUUGAAUAAAUAAAUUACUCUAGGGAUAACAGCAUAAUAUAUUAAAGUUUGUGACCUCGAUGUUGGACUAGGGAAGCUAUUAUUUAGAAGACAAUAGUUUUAGCUCUGUUCGAGCCUUUUCCCCUACAUGAUCUGAGUUCAGACCGG
rnacentral:rRNA from 1 species